rnacentral:rRNA from 1 species
GAUGAACGCUGGCGGCGUGCCUAAUACAUGCAAGUCGAGCGAACGGACGCGAAGCUUGCUUCUCUGAUGUUAGCGGCGGACGGGUGAGUUACACGUGGAUCACCUCCCUAUAAGACUGGGAUAACUUCGGGUAACCGGAGCUAAUACCGGAUACUAUUUUGAACCGCAUGGUUCAAAAGUGAAAGACGGUCUUGCUGUCACUUAUCGAUGUAUCCGCGCUGCAUUAGCUAGUUGGUAAGGUAACGCCUUACCAAGGCAACGAUGCAUAGCCGACCUGAGAGGGUGAUCGGCCACACUGGAGCUGAGACACGGUCCAGACUACUACGGGAGGCAGCAGUAGGGAAUGUUACGCAAUGGGCGAAAGCCUGACGGAGCAACGCAGCGUGAGUGAUGAAGGUCUUCGGAUAGUAAAACUCUGUUAUUAGGGAAGAACAUAUGUGUAAGUAACUGUGCACAUCUUGACGGUACCAAAUCAGAAAGCCACGGCUAACUACGUG